rnacentral:rRNA from 1 species
CGGCGAGUGAAGCGGCAACAGCUCAAAUUUGAAAGCUGGCCCUUUUAGGGUCCGCGUUGUAAUUUGUAGAGGAUGAUUCGGCGAGGGCUCCUGCCUAAGUCCCCUGGAACGGGGCGUCAUAGAGGGUGAGAAUCCCGUAUGCGGUAGGUUGCCUUAGCCAUGUGAAUCUCCUUCGACGAGUCGAGUUGUUUGGGAAUGCAGCUCUAAAUGGGAGGUAAAUUUCUUCUAAAGCUAAAUACUGGCCAGAGACCGAUAGCGCACAAGUAGAGUGAUCGAAAGAUGAAAAGCACUUUGGAAAGAGAGUUAAAAAGUACGUGAAAUUGUUGAAAGGGAAGCGCUUGCAACCAGACUUGUCCGCAGUUGCUCAGCCGGUCUCCUGACCGGCGUACUCUUCUGCGGCCAGGCCAGCAUCAGUUCGGGCGGUCGGAUAAAGGCCUCGGGAAUGUAGCUCCUCUCGGGGAGUGUUAUAGCCCGGGGUGGAAUGCGACCAGCCUGGACUGAGGAUCUCGCUUCGGCAAGGAUGCUGGCGUAAUGGUUGUAAGCGGC